rnacentral:rRNA from 2 species
GUAACUGUUCAUACGUUGACGGUAUUUAACCAGAAAGUCACGGCUAAUUACGUGCCAGCAGCCGCGGUAAUACGUAGGUGGCAAGCGUUAUCCGGAUUUAUUGGGCGUAAAGAGAGUGCAGGCGGUUUUCUAAGUCUGAUGUGAAAGCCUUCGGCUUAACCGGAGAAGUGCAUCGGAAACUGGAUAACUUGAGUGCAGAAGAGGGUAGUGGAACUCCAUGUGUAGCGGUGGAAUGCGUAGAUAUAUGGAAGAACACCAGUGGCGAAGGCGGCUACCUGGUCUGCAACUGACGCUGAGACUCGAAAGCAUGGGUAGCGAACAGGAUUAGAUACCCUGGUAGUCCAUGCCGUAAACGAUGAGUGCUAGGUGUUGGAGGGUUUCCGCCCUUCAGUGCCGGAGCUAACGCAUUAAGCACUCCGCCUGGGGAGUACGACCGCAAGGUUGAAACUCAAAGGAAUUGACGGGGGCCCGCACAAGCGGUGGAGCAUGUGGUUUAAUUCGAAGCUACGCGAAGAACCUUACCAGGUCUUGACAUCUUGCGCCAACCCUAGAGAUAGGGCGUUUCCUUCGGGAACGCAAUGACAGGUGGUGCAUGGUCGUCGUCAGCUCGUGUCGUGAGAUGUUGGGUUAAGUCCCGCAACGAGCGCAACCCUUGUUACUAGUUGCCAGCAUUAAGUUGGGCACUCUAGUGAGACUGCCGGUGACAAACCGGAGGAAGGUGGGGACGACGUCAGAUCAUCAUGCCCCUUAUGACCUGGGCUACACACGUGCUACAAUGGACGGUACAACGAGUCGCGAACUCGCGAGGGCAAGCAAAUCUCUUAAAACCGUUCUCAGUUCGGACUGCAGGCUGCAACUCGCCUGCACGAAGUCGGAAUCGCUAGUAAUCGCGGAUCAGCAUGCCGCGGUGAAUACGUUCCCGGGCCUUGUACACACCGCCCGUCACACCAUGAGAGUUUGUAACACCCAAAGUCGGUGGGGUAACCU